AUCAAAAUGAAUUGUGAUACUCAACAGAAAAUACUCAUUACUGAUAAUGAGGCCAGCUCAACGUCCCAUAGAAUAAAGCCCUAAGAGGUAUCAGUGACGUGGGAGUCCUGGCAUGAGACUGAAGGUUUUAAUACUGAAUCCAGAAAGAAGUUCAGAAAAACAAGCGCCAACUAGAGAGUUGAUCUUAAGCAAAGAAGAACAGGAAAGGCAUGGAGAAAUGAAGACACUUUCCCAGUAUUCUGCUACUGAAAAGAAAUGUUUGUUGGGUCAGAAGCUACCUGGCAUCAAACUUCUGCUUCAUCACAUUUGUUCCCUUACUAUUGAAGGUCUCCUGGCACGGAAUUCAGAGGGACAAGCUUGCUGCCACUUUUCUACUGGGACUCCCAGUUGAUUCCUGCAAGCCGAAUCCAUUGAAUGUUGAAUGGCAUCAAAAUCAGCAUUCUCGGAAGAAACACUGAAGCUUUCAAAACAGUCCCUGGCAGUUUCAGGUGUGUUCUUUCCAAGCUCCGAGGCUGUGAGUGAAGCCACACCACUACUUACCAAUAAUUGUUAUCUGCCUCUUCUUUCCUCCAUUUCUACACCUAACUGUCAACAUUUUGUGGCAAUAUCUUUACAUCCAGUUGUUAAAGUAAGAUCUUUCACUUUUAUGCAAUGAGACACACACAAAGCACUGCUCACAAAUGAUGGUCAUCCAUUCAAAAAA